GACGAACGCUGGCGGCGUGCUUAACACAUGCAAGUCGAACGGAAAGGCCCUGCUUUUGUGGGGUGCUCGAUUGGCGAACGGGUGAGUAACACGUGAGUAACCUGCCCUUGACUUUGGGAUAACUUCAGGAAACUGGGGCUAAUACCGGAUAGGAGCUCCUGCUGCAUUGUGGGGGUUGGAAAUUUUCGGCGGUUGGGGUUGGACGCGCGGCUUAUCAGCUUGUUGGUGGGGUAGUGGCUUACCAAGGCUUUGACGGGUAGCCGGCCUGAGAGGGUGACCGGCCACAUUGGGACUGAGAUACGGACCAGACUCCUACGGGAGGCAGCAGUGGGGAAUAUUGCACAAUGGGCGGAAGCCUGAUGCAGAAACGCCGCGUGCGGGAUGACGGCCUUCGGGUUGUAAACCGCUUUCGCCUGUGACGAAGCGUGAGUGACGGUAAUGGGUAAAGAAGCACCGGCUAACUACGUG
rnacentral:rRNA from 1 species